CCUACGGGAGGCAGCAGUCGAGAAUCUUUCACAAUGGGGGCAACCCUGAUGGAGCGACGCCGCGUGGAGGAUAAGGUCUUCGGAUUGUAAACUCCUGUCAUGCGAGAACCAGGUUGCAGGGCUAACACCUUUGCAAAUCGAUGGUACCGCAAGAGGAAGAGACGGCUAACUCUGUGCCAGCAGCCGCGGUAAUACAGAGGUCUCAGGCGUUGUUCGGAAUGACUCGUCGGAGGGGGUGUGAGUGUGGCGUGAAAGCCCGGGGCUCAACCUCGGAAUUGCAUCCGAUACUGCCAUGCUGGAGUACUGAAGAGGUGACUAGAAUUCUAGGUGUAGCAGUGAAAUGCGUAGAUAUCUAGAGGAAUACCAACGGCGAAGGCAGGUCACUGGGCAGUUACUGACACUGAGGCACGAAGGCCAGGGGAGCAAACGGGAUUAGAUACCCGGGUAGUC
rnacentral:rRNA from 1 species